rnacentral:rRNA from 1 species
GUCUACAGCCAUGCCACCCUGAACAAGCCUGAUGUCUGAUCUCAGAAGCCAAGCAGGGUCGGGCCUGGUUAGUACUUGGAUGGGAGACUACCUAGGAAGACCAGGUGCUGUAGGCA